AGCGAACGCUGGCGGCAGGCUUAACACAUGCAAGUCGAACGGGCGUAGCAAUACGUCAGUGGCAGACGGGUGAGUAACGCGUGGGAACGUACCUUUUGGUUCGGAACAACUGAGGGAAACUUCAGCUAAUACCGAAUAAGCCCUUACGGGGAAAGAUUUAUCGCCGAAAGAUCGGCCCGCGUCUGAUUAGCUUGUUGGUGAGGUAACGGCUCACCAAGGCGACGAUCAGUAGCUGGUCUGAGAGGAUGAUCAGCCACAUUGGGACUGACGACACGGCCCAAACUCCUACGGGAGGCAGCAGUGGGGAAUAUUGGACAAUGGGCGAAAGCCUGAUCCAGCCAUGCCGCGUGAGUGAUGAAGGCCCUAGGGUUGUAAAGCUCUUUUGUGCGGGAAGAUAAUGACGGUACCGCAAGAAUAAGCCCCGGCUAACUUCGUG
rnacentral:rRNA from 1 species